GCUGGGCAUAGUGGCGCACGCCUGUAAUCCCAGCGGCUUGGGAGGCUGAGGCAGGAGAAUCUUGAGUUCAAAGCCAGCCUCAGCAAAAGUAAGGCACUAAGAAACUCAGUGAGACCCUGCCUCUA
rnacentral:sRNA from 1 species